rnacentral:rRNA from 1 species
GGGUGAGUAAUGCGUGACCAACCUGCCCCAUGCUCCAGAAUAGCUCUUGGAAACGGGUGGUAAUGCUGGAUGCUCCAACUUGACGCAUGUCUUGUUGGGAAAGUGUUUAGUGGCAUGGGAUGGGGUCGCGUCCUAUCAGCUUGUAGGCGGGGUAAUGGCCCACCUAGGCUUCGACGGGUAGCCGGCCUGAGAGGGCGGACGGCCACAUUGGGACUGAGAUACGGCCCAGACUCCUACGGGAGGCAGCAGCG